AUGAAGAAGAAGAAGUUUAGCAUGAGCGAUUUGGGAUUACUCAGCUAUUACUUGGGCAUCGAAGUGAAGCAAAGCUCCGGGGAGAUUUCCCUAUGUCAAUCGGCUUAUGCGGUCAAGUUAUUGGACAAGUGUGGCAUGACAGAUUGCUACAAGACACAAGCUCCAAUGGACCAACGCCACAAGUUGAGCAAGCGUAGCUCAAAUCCGCCAGUGGACACCACAAUGUAUCGAAGCGUUGUGGGCAGCCUAAGAUAUUUGGUGCAUACCCGACCUGACUUGGCUUAUUCAGUCGGGAUCGUGAGUCGUUUCAUGGAGAAUCCGACAACCGAGCACAUGAGCGCGGUCAAGCAAAUCUUGCGCUAUGUGAAAGGCACUAUUAAUCUUGGCUGCACGUACAGAAAGGGAAAGGAAGGGUUGAUCCUUCAUGGAUACUCAGAUAGUGACAUGGCAAGUGAUGUGGAUGACCGGAAAAGCACCACGGGCAUGAUAUUCUACCUUGGCCCAAAUCCUAUCAGCUGGAAUUCUCAGAAACAAAAGGUGGUUGCGUUGUCUUGA
rnacentral:rRNA from 1 species